CUCGAGUCCAGGAGGUGGAGGUUGCAGUGAGCCAAGAUCGUGCCACUGCUCUCCAGCCUGGCUGACAGAGUGAGACUCUGUCUAAAAAAAAAAAAAAAAUGAUGUUUGGCCUGUUGGGCCGGGCACGUCUGACCCUCUGUCCCCGUCUCCCUUAGAGGAAUCGUGGGCCCCUCUGUUCUUGUGUUGUCACCGGUGGAGGCCGUCCUUGACUUCCCCCUGGGAGCACGGUGUGUCCCCUCGCCAUGCAGAGCACACUGUGAAGUCUUUUAAUGAGGAGAGAAAAGCCCCUUAAAAGUUGAUAUUCUGCAGACAGGUGAGCACGUGGCCUCGUGGUCACAGGAAAGAAGAGGCGUUUCCUGUGUUCUGGCAACCUCGAGCUUCUCUGUGAGCGCAUGCCCAGGCCUGCCUGAGUGCUGAUGAACCAGCCGGCACAGCAGAGCACUCCGGGUCUGAGGGAGCUGCUCUCCCUGCAGCAGGCGGCUGGGCAGGGCACCGUGGUCCUUUGCCAUUUUUCCAGGGCCGGGGGGUGUCAGGGUGUCUGCGUUGGGGGGUGCAGGGGGUGAGCAGAGCCAGCAGCUGCACCUGAGCCUCCCCUUGUGAGCAGCUCGUGGCUGUGGCCCAGGGUACCCUGGAUCCUUGGUGGGUGACCCAGAGGGUGGGGUCCUCUUGGUCGUCUUCUAGAGGGAGCAUGGGGGCUGAGUGUUCCUGCCUGGGUGCCAGGCUCAGCUCAUUUUAAAGGUGCCUGGGGUUGGGAACACGAAGCCACAUCCUUCCCAGUUAGGCCCAGCCUCCCAGGGUGAGGGCAGCAAGUCACCCAGGUGCCGAGGGAAGAG
rnacentral:lncRNA from 10 species